rnacentral:lncRNA from 1 species
CAUAUGGCGAGGGUGCAGCCCUAAAAAAGCAAGACAAAAACAAAAAUUAAAAAAAUCCCCCUGGUUUUAUUGGGGUGUUAUAUCCACAUAUAAAAAACCCCAUGUAUUUAUUUAUUUUUGCUUUUUAGGGCCACACCUGCAUGGUAUGGAAGUCCCCAGGCUAGAGGUUGAAUCAGAGCUGUAGCUGCCAACCUACACCACAGCCACAGCAACAAGGCAUCUGAGCCGAGACCUACACCUCAGCUCACAGCAACGCCAGAUGUUUUAACCCACUGUGCAGGGCCGGGGAUCGAACCUACAUCCUCACAGAUGCUAGUUGGGCUCAUAACCUGGUAAACCACAAUGGGAACUCGUCAAUAAAGCUGCUUUUUUUAAAAAAAACAGCACAACAAGAGUUCCCUGGUGGCCUAGCGGUUAAGGAUUUGGUGCUGUCACUGCUGUGGCUUGAGUUCAAUCACUGGCCUGGGAAUUUCUGCAUGCUGCCUGCAACGCUGAAAAAAUAAAUAAAUAAAAAAUAAAAAAUUAGGAAGUUCCCAGUGGGACAGUGGGUUGAGGAUCAGGUGUCCCUGCAGCAGCUACGGUUGCUGCAGAAGCACGAGUUCUACCCCUGGCCCGGCACAGUGGGUUAAGGAUCCGGCAUCACCACAGCUGUGACAUAGGUCACAGCUAUGGCUCAGAUUUGACUCCUGGCCCGGAAACUUCCAUAUGUCCUGGGUGUAGCCAAAAAAAUUUUUUUUAAUAAAUAAAAAAACAUAUGACAACAAAACAACCAGGGGCUUGCCCUGUGCUGCUUCUGCAUCUCAAUACAACAUCCCAAUACACCCAUCUCAUUGGGUGCCCUUGCACCCACUGGGUCAAAAGGCCCAACCAGCUGAGCUGCCUGCACCACAUCCUGCACCUCCUGGAAUCUUCUCUUCCUCUGGACUCCACUCCGAGCAGAAACCUUGUGCAUAACUUCGUCAGUGGGUAGGAACAACACACCCAAAUGUAACACCUCUCCAAAUUCCAUAGGCUCACCAAUGGUCUCUCCUUUUUUCAGUGGUGGAGGUCAUGAGACAACUUGCCUUUCACUUUGGAGGAGAGAACGUGACAUGCCCCGCACCGCUCGCCUUCCAGAAACAUCAUGAGGUGCUAGUCCCUCAAUUCCUGUAGCAAUGACCGCCUACCUCCAUCCCGCAAGUAGCGUGCUAGAGGAUUCGGGGUAUCUGCCACUUUCUGCUCACCAAGUCUCACCUGCCCGUGGUCAUCAAGGCGAUGGACCAGCACGGUGCCCUGGAGGGGCUGAGAAGAGCAGGUUCUCCCGCGCUGACUUGUGGACCAAAGUGGCACCACGUCUGCAGGGACGAGUGUGAACCUCAGGAUCAAGCUUCCCCGAAGGUCUGGAGUUUUCCCUUCCCCUCAGCACAUCCAUCCUGGCUAAUUGUCCCGGUUCCUGUGGGGUGGCUGCAGAGAAGACACAGAGCAGGUGCUUGUGAGGUCCUGCAGGGUCCGAGUUCAAGGACACCAGGUCUCCCUUGAAUUCGAGGAGCUGCUGGUCUGUGAUUGAUUUAAUGCUAGAAAUUGAAUGAGGUGCUUGGAUUCUUAUCUGGGGACUCAGACUCACACAGAGCUCAAUAAGGAGAACAGAGGCCAGAGUCCAUCUGCCAACCAUCCCCCACCACAUUCCAAGCCCUUUAGACCCAUUACAAUUCAUGCGGGCCUCACAUACCCUCUGCAGGGACACUCAGAAGCCUUGUGUUAUCCUACGUGUGAAUAACUGAAUGGUCUAGAACAGAGAGGCAUGGAAUGGACCAGAGCAGAAGGAAUUAUCGGAGGAGAAGGAGCCUGAACCCACAGCACAAGUUCAAGGUGCUUCAGAGUCAGCCCAGGUACAGGCCUGGUCCGGCCACUCUUGGUGCGGGUGACCUUGGCCAGGAGUGACUCAGGGCUCGGGCAUCAAGCCAGUGGCAGGGAAGCUCGUCACCUGCAUGCAGCCCUGGAAACCCUCAGCAAAUGACGCCCACCAGACUCCCACUGGCAGAGGCCACCGCUACCAAACUGGAGAAGAUGGGGGAGGGGACAAGGUAGUAGAAUGAGGAAGGAGAGUGAGGAGCCACGGGGGGAGUGGGGAGAAAGGAGGCCGAGAUUGCUCCCCGCAUUUUACCGUUGAGGGGUCUGAGGCUCGGGGAGGGCCUGAGACCUGUCUGGGUACCAGCGCCCAGGAAAGUCAAGGUUUCUGAAAUUAAAGCCCUGAGAAUCUCUCCAGAAUUUGGAAUCUGAGAUUCAGGCUUCAGAAAGGCUGCAGUUCCAGGAGAUGAGCUGCAGUCGCAGCUGUUCCGGGAGCGCCAGGGUGGGGGCCACGGAAACCCUCUGCCGGGGAAGCCCCCCAUCCGUCAGAGGGCGGUCCCCAUGGAGGAUGUGCUGUCUUAGGUUUGCCAAGUUACGAUGCUCUCACAAAGCUUUUGUGAAUUAAAUCUGGUGAACUGGACUUGGGUUCUACAUCCAGCAGGCGCCAGGGAUCCAAGAAACCACGGAGCUGCAAGGCUGUCCCUGACCUUGCCGCAGAGGUCACGCAGCAUGGCUUCCGUGGCAGGCGGCAGGGAAUCACACGCGGGCACCUUUCCGUUUUCUGAAUGGACACUUCUGAGCACUCACUAAGUGCUAGGUCCCUCAUGUCAUCAACUCUGCCGCACGGACCUGCAAUACCCAGAAAGCAGUAGAAUGUGCAGGACCGUUAUGGGAAACUCAGAAGCCACUCCAUCAGGGUGGGCACCCCUUCCUUCUCUCCCUGAGCUGGGGCCCUUCCCUUUCUGGAGCUAGGAUUUGGGAAGGGAAAUCUGAGAGUUCGGUGGUGGUCACGGGCAAUGGAACUACAGCAAAGGGAAGACUCAUCUCGAGGGACACGCCCCCCGCUCUGCCUCCUGUAACUCUUAGGACGAACCCACAUAUCAAGCAGAUACCAUCAGAUUCGGAUUACAGCUUCCAGCGUCGCCUGAUUCCAGGGGCCACCAUGCUUUCCUACCUCUCAUUACAAACUCCUGCUCGGAGUUCCUGUCGUGGUGCAGCGGAAACGAAUCCGACCAGGCACUGUGAGGUUGCAGGUUUGAUCCCUGGCCUCACUCAGUGGGUUAAGGAUUUGGCGUUGCCAUGAGUUGUGGUGUAGGUCACAGAUGUGGCUCGGAUCCUGCUUCACUGUGGCUGUGGUGUAGGCCAGCAGCUGUAGCUGCAACUGGACCCCUAGCCUAGGAACCUCCAUCCGCCAUGGGUGCGCCCCGAAAAAAAAGCAAAAGAAAAAAACAAACUCCUGCUCAUUGGAACUAUAUUUCUGAAUAUUGACUAAGGCAGAAAUUCUAUAAUUUUUAUCCUUUCCUUCCCAAACAUUAUUAAUCUUUAAAAAUCUUCUUUUGAGGAAUGCCUGCCGUGGCUCAGUGUUAAUGAACCUGACUAGUAUCCACGAGGACUCGGGUUCCAUCCCUGGCACUAGCACAGCGAGUUAAGAAUCCAGCAUUGCUGUGAGCUAUGGUGCAGGUCCCAGAUGCUGCUUGGAUCUGGGGUUGCUGUGGCUGUGGCGUAGGCCAGCAGCGGUAGCUCCAAUUUGAACCCUAGCCUGGGAACCUCCAUACGCCAAGGGUGCGGCCCUAAAAAGCAAAGCAAAACGAGACAAAAAUACCUUCUUUUGAUUUGUCACCAGCUUUUACAAAGGCAGCUAAGUAAACACUCCCUCCUCCUCUCCACGAAGCCGUCUCUGAAUCCCCAGCCCCUGCUUCACCCCAACAGCAUCAGCCCAAGGUCUGUAUUCACCUGUCAACCUGUCUGUUCGCCUUCGUUUGGGCAAAAUCUACACCAGGGCCACAGCAGCUUCCAGUAAGCAUUUGAGGAAGGAGGAGGAGGGAAGGGAAAAUUCAAGGGGAAGAAUUGUUUAAACCUAUAAUAACAAUAAAUACCAUUUAUUAAAUGUCUACUCUGUGCCAGACGCCAGCUGGGUGUUCUUCUGAAGACUCUGUCUCCUCUAAACCUCUCAAUCCCAGGGGCUUCACCUUCGCUUUGCCUUAGAGGAGAACAAGGUUUGCAGAGGGUGUCUCCUGCCCAGGGUUGCCUCGCAACUAAAUGACUCCACCACUUGGGUUCUUAACCACAGCUUUGCAAGCCUGGGGCCACUUCCCCUGGCGCUCACAGGAGCAGAGGAAUUAAUGACGAUUCGGCGAGAAAUUCUAGGUUGUGCCACUGCAGGUCCACUUAGGUUCUUCGGGGUAAGGUGCCCAGGCUUUUAGGUGGUUUCACUGCCCCUCUUCCCUUCUCUAGGGGAGUCGGGAGGGAGGCUUGAAUAACCCUGGGGAGCGGGAGGGCACCCCUGGCUCCAGCGUCGCUUCCAGCCUCUACGGCCAUGGCUGACGCUUUCCGCUCUCCUGGCCUCUGGGUUGGUCCCGAGGCGUCCGCUGUCCACAACCGCUCCUGGCCACAGCUUCUGCACCUUCUCCUCUGACCCCAGCUCUAACCCAUAGUCUUCCUGGGCUUUUCUUUUCUUUUUUGCUUUUUGGGGCCAUACCCACAGCAGAUGGAAGUUCCCAGACUAGGGAUCAAAUCAGAGCUACAGCUGCCCGCCACAGCCACAGCCACUGCCACAGCAACGCCAGAUCCUUCAUCCACUGAGCGAAGCCAGGGAUAGAAUUCACAUCCUCAUGGGUACUAGUCGGGUGCGUCACCCGCUGAGCCACCACGGCAACUCCCUUCCUGGGCGUUUCUACAUCCCCAUCUCCCGGGGUCCCCGAAACCCUGGCUGCCGUCUCCCCUCCAUACCUCCACCCGGGAGGGGACGGACUCUGGGAGCUGCCCUGUGUGGCUAGAGAGGCGUCCUCCACAUAGGACUCUUCAGAGUGUGGUCGGCGUCACCUGGAAAUUUGUUAGAGACGCAACAUCUCAGGUCCUACCCAGGAGCUACUGAAUCACAAACUCUGGGGCUGGGGCCCCCACAACGUGGCUCUGUCCAUGUUGCAACCAGCCCUCCAAGCGAUUCUGAUCCACAGGUGGAUGUGAGCAUCGCUCCCCCACCUCACCCCUUCCUUCCCCUCCAGAGCUCACAGUGCAAAGUCCACGCUCAGGAAGUUCCCGCUGUGGCUCAUCAGGUUACGAGCCCAACUAGUAUCAACGAGGAUAUGGGUUCGAUCCCUGUCCUUGCUCAAUGAGUUAAGGAUCUGGCAUGGCUGUGGCUGUGGUGUAGGCCGGCAGCUGCGGCUCUGAUUCGAUCCCUAGGCUGGGAGCUUCCAUAUGCCACGGGUGCAGCUAUUAAAAAGAAAAGAAAAGAAAAAAAAAAAAAAAGU